GAUGAAGAACGUAGCGAAAUGCGAUAAGUAAUGCGAAUUGCAGAAUUUCCGUGAGUCAUCGAGUCUUUGAACGCACAUUGCGCCCCCUGGUAUUCCGGGGGGCAUGCCUGUUCGAGCGUCAUUUCACCACUCAAGCCUCGCUUGGUAUUGGGCAACGCGGUCCGCCGCGUGCCUCAAAUCGACCGGCUGGGUCUUCUGUCCCCUAAGCGUUGUGGAAACUAUUCGCUAAAGGGUGCUCGGGAGGCUACGCCGUAAAACAAACCCAUUUCUAAGGUUGACCUCGGAUCAGGUAGGGAUACCCGCUGAACUUAAGCAUAUCAAUAGCGGAGGA
rnacentral:misc_RNA from 1 species